rnacentral:rRNA from 1 species
GAUGAACGCUGGCGGCGUGCUUAACACAUGCAAGUCGGACGAAGCACCUUAUUCUGAUUUCUUCGGAAUGAAAAAUUUGGUGACUGAGUGGCGGACGGGUGAGUAACGCGUGGGUAACCUGCCUCAUACAGAGGGAUAGCAGUUAGAAAUGACUGCUAAUACCGCAUAAGACCACAGCACCGCAUGGUGCAGGGGUAAAAACUCCGGUGGUAUGAGAUGGACCCGCGUCUGAUUAGGUAGUUGGGGGGGUAACGGCCUACCAAGCCGACGAUCAGUAGCCGACCUGAGAGGGUGACCGGCCACAUUGGGACUGAGACACGGCCCAAACUCCUACGGGAGGCAGCAGUGGGGAAUAUUGCACAAUGGGGGAAACCCUGAUGCAGCGACGCCGCGUGAGCGAUGAAGUAUUUCGGUAUGUAAAGCUCUAUCAGCAGGGAAGAAAAUGACGGUACCUGACUAAGAAGCACCGGCUAAAUACGUGCCAGCAGCAGCCGCCGUAA